rnacentral:rRNA from 1 species
GUGCGUAACACGUGAGCAACCUGCCUGCCGGUGGGGGAUACCCAGGGAAACUUGGGCUAAUACCGCAUUCGCUCGGUGCCUCAGAUGGGGAACCGAGGAAAGGUGCUGCAAGGCAGUGCCGGCAGAGGGGCUCGCGGCCUAUCAGCUAGCUGGUGGGGUAAUGGCCUACCAGGGCGACGACGGGUAGCCGAUCUGAGAGGAUGAUCGGCCACAUUGGGACUGAGAUACGGCCCAGACUCCUACGGGAGGCAGCAGUGGGGAAUCUUGCGCGAUGGGCGAAAGCCUGACGCAGCGACGCCGCGUGCGGGAGGAAGCUCUUCGGGGUGUAAACCGCUGUCAGGAGGGAAGAAUGGUCCGGGGAGGAAAUGCCUCGGAUUUGACGGUACCUCCAGAGGAAGCACCGGCUAACUCUGUGCCAGCAGCCGCGGUAAUACAGAGGGUGCGAGCGUUGUUCGGAAUUACUGGGCGUAAAGCGCGCGCAGGCGGCUCUUUAAGUCUGCCGGUCAAAUGCCGGGGCUCAACCCCGAGCUCGCCGGAGAUACUGGAGGGCUGGAGACACGUAGAGGCAAGCGGAAUUCCGGGUGUAGCGGUGGAAUGCGUAGAGAUCCGGAAGAACACCGGAGGCGAAGGCGGCUUGCUGGGCGUGAUCUGACGCUGAGGCGCGAAAGCGUGGGGAGCGAACAGGAUUAGAUACCCUGGUAGUCCACGCCGUAAACGAUGGGCACUGGGCGCGGGGGGGAUCGACCCUCUCCGUGCCGUAGCUAACGCGAUAAGUGCCCCGCCUGGGGAGUACGGCCGCAAGGCUGAAACUCAAAGGAAUUGACGGGGGCCCGCACAAGCGGUGGAGCAUGUGGUUUAAUUCGAAGCAACGCGAAGAACCUUACCUGGAUUUGACAUCCUGUUGAAACCCUCGUGAAAGCGGGGGCCCUCUUCGGAGCAGCAGGACAGGUGCUGCAUGGCUGUCGUCAGCUCGUGUCGUGAGAUGUUGGGUUAAGUCCCGCAACGAGCGCAACCCUAAUCGAAUUCCCGCGGCC